AAAAAGACAAACCCUUAAUUUUCGUGUCCAAUGUUUGAUUAUUCGUCUUAUAUGAAUUUUUUUUUAUAAUUAGUAUUUUCAUUGUUAUUAGAUGAUAAAACAUGAUUAAUAUUUUAUGCGUGACUUGUCUUUUUAAUUUUUUUAUAAUUUUUUAAAUAAGACGUACGGUCAAACGUUGGACACGGAAAUUGAGGGUUUGUCUUUUU
rfam:Oryza sativa Japonica Group DNA, chromosome 6, cultivar: Nipponbare, complete sequence.